UUAAAGAUUGUUAUAUUACUAUUGUUAUUAAAGUUACUCUAUGAAAACAGGUUAAGAAGAAAGGUAAAGUUACUUCUGAGAGAAAGGAGGUGGUCAAGAAUAGGACUAAGGGAAAUGCUGCUUUACCUGUCGACACAAGUAAUCAUAUUGGAUGUUCUUCAUCUGCUCAUAAAGUUAAGGGGAAGAGAGCCGCCAACGUUCAGAAAAAGCUUAACCGUAGAAAUAAGAUUGCAAAGACUGCAAAAAAA